UGCAGCAGGUGUCUCUCUUUGAGGAAAAACGAGGAAAUGCAGCAUCUUUAGUUUACAGAUGAGGAAAAGAUAAUCAUUUCCCACAUGAAGACCAGAAAACGAUCCAAAUCGGGUGAAAAUAACGCGGUACUUUAUUUUAAAUCAUCAAAGAUGCAACCGUUCACAUAUUUUCAAGCAUCCGUGGCAGUAAUGGCGGAGGAUCCGGUUACAGUUCUCCGAUCAGCUGCUGAUCAGAUGGAUUGAUUCUGUGUCCGAUCGUCCGAACCGAGUCAUCCUCCGAACCGAGUCAUCAUCUGAACCGAGUCAUCACCCGACUGAAGGCGGAUUACAGCGCGUUCGUGACGCGAGUCUAAAGCGGUGUAAUCAUGGAUGUGUUCGGCUUUCUCAAUCUAAACGAGCUCGCUCUGGGGCUGUCAAACCUCUCCAUGUUCCCCUACUUCGACAUGGCGCAUUAUAUCAUAUCAGUGAUGAGUCUGAGAGAGCAGCCAGGUUGUCAACACUUUUGACAUGAGCGUUUGUCCUCACAUCUUUAGUGCAAGUCAAACUCAUAACAUUUGCAUGUUAUGUUUAUGUUUAUUUUUUUAUUUUGAAUUUGUUAAUAAUCCGAGAUCUCUUGAUCAGUUGCUUUAUAAUAAUUAGAUAUAUUUAAAACAUCAGUUAAACAUCAGUUUUAAAGCAGUCAAAACACUGUUUAUCAAUGUCUUUAUGAAUGUCAAUAUGUGCACAAUGAGGUUUCUGUUCUCUUUAGAACACAUUGAUGUUUGUGAUGAUUCUGGAGCAGGUCAGUGUGUGUUUAAAUAAGUGUGAAAGCAGAAGUUACACGAUCAAAGGCCAGAGGAAAGAGAAGUGCAUUUAAUCAUUAACUCUCUGUCUAUAUUGUCUCUGUUUCUCUCACAGAAGCAUGCAGAUGUGUGGUUAAACAUGCGUUAGUGCUGCAUGCAGGGUGGAGGCACAAGUUCUGUUUGCCUGGUCGUUUGCAUUAACCAAACAUGCAUUUGCAUUGACCGCAGUGUGUUUGUCCAGUGCUGAGACCAGCCGUUUGCUCCUGCGCUGGGGUUUGUGUUGAGCAGUAAUGCAUGUGCUCUAUUGUAUCGCAGCAGCUGCAGUAAAUCACAGGCUAUUUUAGAAACUCUGACCUGCGUGGCAUCCCGUUCUCUUCUAUUGUCCAGCACUGAACUAUCUGGAGAGGGAAUGAGACCCAACACGUCCUGGUGUUUAGAUCCAGUGGGAAGAGAGUGUCAGGAAUGUUUCAGGUUAAAUGUGUUUCUGUUUUACCUGCAGAAUACUGUCUCUUACAUGAUCCAGAGACUGACAUCCAGUGCAUCUAAUAAACCUGCAAUUACUGUUAUAGUCUGUUUUCCAGGAAGAGAGACUGAAAGUGGUGUGUUUUUGUCAACGUUUAGAAGCCCACUAGCAGAUAGAUGUCAGACACUGCUGAAAAAAACUUUCUUUGUUUGUGCAUUGAUCAAUUUUGUAUGGAAGCCCGUUUCCGCCGCAGAUUCAAUUUUUUAUUUUAAUAUUUUACAAUUAUUUUAAAAAGGUUAUUCUCACUUUUUUCACAGAAUUGUAAAAUAUAAAUGU